AAAAAGGGAGCCAGUUAUACAGUUAUAACUAAAAGCUAGACAGUCAGAGGCACGUUACUUCAACAGCACCGGAAUCUGAGGCUGAAAAACAGAGAAAAUUGUGUCUGUCCUGGAUUUAAUAACUUUUAGAAGAGUAAGUUGAAAACCCAGAAGUAGAUUCCAAAUUAAAACCAUACCUGUUCUCUCUUUAGGGGAAAACUGGUUAAAGACACACAGCAGAUGGUGGGAGCAGGGUUGAAUCACAGCGUGACAGUGAAGGGCCAGUCACCAAACACACAGUGGACCAGAAGAUGGGCAAGUGAAGAUGCCCAGUUAUGCUGCCCUGGAAUAAUUUACCAUAAAAUGAUGGCAGGAGCCAUAUAAGAAAGGUGAGGGAUGCAUCAAAUGGAUGUUGGCUUGCUUGUGCCCCCUAAAAGCCACCACCAGCCCAACAUGAGAAACUGCAGGAAAGGAGAGGGCUGGAGCUGGGCUGAGCCUUUAGGAGAUGGUACCCGGAAAGAUGUCGUAAAGAAGAAGAGGACAAGAGCAGCAAGAGGGACGGGACUACAGGAACUGCCCAGGAGUCGCAGUCAGGAGGAGCCACAGAGCCGUGGAAAAGGAGACACACGUACCUGCCCGAACCUGUCACCUGUGUGAGGGGCUGGAAACCACAGCCCUCCUGCUGGGUCCACUCAUAGACCAAAUAACUAGCACAAGAAGAAAAGCUGAACAUAUGGAUCCUUAUUCUCAAAAUUUACCUAAACUUUUACAUUAAAAAAAAACAACUCAUCCACCAUAAGCAGAUUGUGUACACCGUACCCUUCCAGACUGCCCCGCUGAGUGGCUGUUUGCUUGUGCAGCCUUGGCAAAGCAGUUGGCUGAAGGUCUCACCAGACCAGUGGUGGAGAGGGACUGAGACCUGUGGACCUCCUCCAAUUCCAUCACCUGCAUCCGCAGACACAAUUUCAUACCCGGGGCUGGUGUGAUGUCCUGAAGGGUCCUGUGUGCUUCUUCUUAAUGACCAUCAGCAACACAGCCAUCAGUAAUGGAAAUGAAAAGUCUACCUUGUAAACCCUUUGAGUUUUUCUGCCUGUGUCUGGGCACCCGUCACUCUCUGGAUCAAAUUCAGAAGUACAGGGACAGUCUUUAAUCUCCUGACUUUCUAAAUUACACCCUCAUAUUCUCAGUUCUACAGCAGCAACCAGCAAUGCCAUCGUCACCUUCUUCUACUCAAUACCAGCAGAAAGUAGCCCCAAAAUAAAGACAAUCUCACAAACUUCCCCUCUGCCAAGAGAGACAGUCUUGUCCUAAUGACUUGAGUUUUUGAGCAAGGUCAACCCUUGCUAACAAGAGACUGGUGACUUUUCUGGACAGAAAUUAGAUUCUGAGGCAGCUCAUUGUUAGCAGCUUAAACAAAACAUUGCUAAACCGCAGACCUAAACCUAUCUGCUAACUAUCCCAGGAAAAACUUCGUAAUCUCUGCAUGAACCAGCGAUUGUUUCAUAAUUGGGCUGGUAAAAACACCUAGAGCUCUCUAGCUUUCUCAGCUGACACAUCACAAUAAAACAUGAUGUGAGGUGAGUCAUUACCAUCAUGUUCUAUCACAUCCCAUCUCCUAAUGCAACCUGAGACUUGCAUUACACAUGAGCUGAACAAUAUUUUCCGAAGUAUUCAUGAUAGAAAAAAUCUGUGGUUCCAAGGGACGUCAUUUUGUUGAUUAAAAAACUGCCACCACCAAACCUGAAUCCUGCUGAGAAAAAUGGGGCCAUGGGCUCAGGUGCACCCAAAACAAUCUUCCUGCAAACCGCAGCAGGGCUGUCUGCUGGAGGAGAGGUACAGUGAGCAGAGGUUACCUGUGUAGGCACUCAGAUCAAAAACCCAUUGGAGAAAAUCAUAUUUAAAAGUGGAGCUGGAUCUGAACCAGAACUGCAGAGCCAGACACAUGGAGCUUUGGCAAAUCCUGACACAGCGUUUUGGGGGGUUGGAUCAAUGGGCCAGUUUUGACUUUGCAUUUAAGAGUCAGUGUCUGAUGUGAUGCACCCUCCCAUCUCCCUGGAUCCUCCCUACCAUCACUGGUGUUUCCUCAUAACUAAUGACCCAGUCACUUAAGAUUUCCCAAAUGACAUCAGCGACCCUAAAACCCAGUAAGCAAACACUUGCACACAGCUGUCCCUGCACAAAAGAUGCUGAGAGGAAUAGGGAAAUCACAGAUUGCUACACACAGAAAUACCAGCCGCACGUUGGAAAAAAAGGGGUUGGAAAUGCAGACGUUGUCGUGCUGCCCUGGGCAGCGCUGCAGAAAUCCGGGAUGUGUGGAGUCGCACUGCCCACAUCUCCAAGCACUGCCUGGAGGGAUGUGUCACACCAGGAGCAAAGUCUCUUCCUGAGGUCACCGGACCCGUCUCUCUGGUUAGCAGGGAUCAUACAGCCGACAGCGGUUCUCCGUGGGAACAGGAAAACUGACAGUGGUAACACCAGGUGCUUCCUAAAAUAAAACGCUUACUCCACAGUCCGUGUCCUGCCAGCCAAGCAGAGUUAGAGACAGCCUGAGGAACAACAAGCGGCGGCAGGAGCUGUGCCUGAGUCAGGAGGUGCACGUCCCAUCACCCACCAAGGAAUGUCCCAUGACGCGAUUUUGUCUGAGGAGGCGGGAAGGAGGGUGAAGGUGUGUGGGACCACGCUCUGGAGAUACCAUCACUGCCAUGAGCUCAUGCAUUCUCAUACCAGAGCCCGUGAGAGCCUGGUGGGACCGAGGGCAUCGGAGCUGGGUCUCAAAUAUGGGUCUGCUUUUUCUGUGUCCUGGGCUCUGCAUGGCCUUUUUCUCAUUAUGUCAGACUGAUAACAGGUUAUUAGCAAGUUGCUCAAAUGCUCAUCAUGCUCAUCUGAGUGGUCAUUACAAUUUAAGGAGCUGAGUGACAGGUGCUGUGAGUGACAAUGUGCUUUCCUAACCUAACUGAGAGGGUGAUCAAUGGUAGGAAAUGGCUUUUCUGUGAGGAAUGGUUCAAUAUGCUGUACCUCUUGAGCCAUAAAAGAGUUAACCAAAUGUUGAUGUGAACAAAAUGUGUAAAACCACAAUUGGCACAGAAAAGGUGAAUAAGGAUGUGCUGUUCACUGUCUGGUCCAAUGUCAGGAGGGAGGAGGGAAGGAAAAUAAAAGAAGCUCGCAAGAGAGGGGUUUAAAACACAGGGGAUAUCUCUUUACCUGACAGUCAGGUGAGGAAUCCCUUGCCAUAGGACACUGGGCAUUGAGCAAUUUUCAAGGUCAACAGGCAAUCAAAAAAGUCAGUAUAAAAAAAUACUGGGCAACAGAAAGACCAAUUCUGGAUUCAGGAGCCUCUGACCCACAAAGUGCCGUGGUUGGGAAAACACUCUGGUGAGGUGUAAUUACAUGCUGAGCCUGUUCCUGUGCUCUCCCCUCGACAUCAAUCGUUAGUCUCCAUCAAAGGCAGGACAGUGGGCCAGGUAGCUGACAAAUCAUUUUUAUGGGUAUAAAGCGUGACUCACAGCACAGGGAAGGCUCUAGCUCUGGUUACCUCCUUGCUUGGAAUCCUGAAGCAGUAAAACUCAUGUUGUCACACCACCACCAGUGUGGCAGGUUGUGGCUUGCAUCUGCUGCCAAGAUAUCAUCGUGUACCUUUGGCGAUUGUCCCUUCCCGGUGCCGUGGGAAGCGGCAGCUCAGUGCUCCUCAAUGGCUCCUUUUGCUCCUUUCCUUGCCCAGCUCCAAGCGUGCAGUCUGUUAAAGAAGCUCCAACCUGUCUCUUGGUUUCACAUAGCAAUAUGUAAUCAGCACUGCUCAACUUAACAUAUUACAGCCUCCAAAGAUGUCACACAUUGGGACUCCAAAAAUCAGGAAGAAACAUUUAUUUCAUAAGUUUCAACCUGAUACAUUUAAGAGGCAUAUUUUCCUACUGGCUUUGGAGUGAUCUACCAUUUUGCCCUGUUAUCUUUCACCUUAGAAACCUGGAAGUAACUUUUGCUUUUCAGGUUAAAGAAAUUUUACCAACUGUAACUCUCUAACAUUGAGAUAAUGUAAAAAAACCUCUUAUCAUAAGACUUCAUUAACUUGUAACCACCAGCAGCCUAAAGAACAAGCAACACAUUUUGCAUUGACUGAAGGAUGAGCUCUUCCCAAACAAGGGAUGGAAAAAAUUAUGCAUCCUGUUUAAGUAGAAAGGUGUAUGUGCAUGCCAAUGGAAACAGGCAUUGAAGAGAUGCAAUUAAACAUCCAGCCAGUGCAGUGAGGUCCUGUUCCCUCCUUGGAGACAUCCUAGAAAAUCUGUGAUCACUUCCAGGCGGAUAUGGAGACUUCUCCCUGAAAUCAAAGCAUCCAGACUCGCUAAGAGAGCAUGUGUUUUGAGCUUCCUCUCACACUCACCUCUUGCUUUUGGGGCUGGCUUUGCAGUGACGACAUGGGGUCUCCUGGAAGAGCCAGAAGGAAAGUCUGGGAUACUUGAUGCUGUAGUUCAAGAUGUGACAAAUGACAUGAGUAGUGUCUGCUGGUUGUGAUGACAGCAGCGAGGUAACCUACCCACUUGGAAAUGUCAUCUCAUGUCAGCUCAGCCACUUUGGAAGCACAGCUCCUGCCAUCAGCAGUUAACAGCUGGUGGCCAAGAUGGCACCAACAAGGUACUUAAUGAACCUAACACUUCCCAACACCCCACCUAAUCCUUUUGGGCUAGAAAAAACUUGUGAGAAGUCCAAGUGUGCUGACACAGGGCAGCUGAAUUUAUCACAGUUUCAAAUAUGAACAUUUAUUAAAAUUGAGCGUCUGUCUAUGGCUUUAAGUGCCCUGUAUUAAUUCUUAUCAGCGGAGAGGAAAAUUGUCUUGCCUUGCCUGGUUUUCAGUGCUACAGGUAGCGAUGAGCAAAGUUUUGCAAAUAGUGAUAAAAAGACCAGAUUCUGGUCAUUGGGAAGAGAAUAUACCUAAUCGUGGGCAAAUGUACCACCCCCCAAAAAAUACAUGACUUAUAGUGGAGAAAGGUGCUCCCCAGGCAAGGUUACAGGAGAGAGCACUAACAUUUAAGUUAAAUUUGGACAUAAAGGAGCAGGACUGCACACAAAGGAAGAGAACUGAGAUCUGAAGUGCAGGAAGGACUAGCCUGAGCAUCCCAGGCAUAAACAGUCCGGUGCAACUGGCACACAAAACGAAGGAAAAAAAAUGGAAUCAAUACAUUUCUGUAUUGGCAGAAUAAAACAUUGACAUUCAAUAUAGUAACAAGCUAAUCCCACCACUUGACAGGCACCAGUUUGGUGGCACAUGUCUUGGAACAUUCCUGAAGAACAAGGGGGCACAAGUCACACACAUUUCAGACGUGUUUGGGAAAACAGGCAGUUUGGUGCUUCCCUAAUGAUCAUUAUACAUUUUCCAGGUAUCUGACUCUCUUCUUUUCAAAAGCAUCAUCUUUUCAGUGUGUUAUUUCAACAAAUACAUACCGAGUAUCAUGAGAUUAUUCUGAAUUUUGGGAAAAAAAGCAAGUCUCUGUAAAGGCAGCCAAGCUGGAAGAGAAAAAUUGAGUUUUGUAUUGCAUUUAGCAGUAGAAUUUACAGGUCUGCAAGCUGCCCACAGAGGAGAGCAGCAGCACAGAGCAGAGGCUGGGUAAAAACCUGAAAAAUACGUUUUUAUCAUUUUGACACCUGCGUUCUCUGAGAUCAUUUAUUUGGGAUCAAAGUCUCGCCAAACCCUAGUUCAAAGAGCAGGUGGUGCACAUCUCGGAAAGGUGAGGAAAAACAACUGAAUUCAAACCAUUUUUGUAGUGGCAGCUUCUAAGUGAGGAACAGGAACCUGUAUCUAGCAGUAUUUUGUUUGUUUGCGAUUAUGUCCCACUAUCUUAAGAUAAAAUUGGUUUGUUUUCAGUGUAUCAUUUUCAUUACGCUGUUACCCAACUAUUCUCUACUGUAAUAACUUAAUUUUCUCACGGGAUACAUUUUGGGUCUCUGAGACCAGGUAUCUGCUCUGUAAAGAAUCAUUUUGCAAUAUGUUUCAUAAACCACGUCAGGUCUGUAUUCAAACUAGCUUUGCUUCUGUCCUCAGCUCUUCCACAGAAGUGUUGUAGGAUGGUCAGCAAUCUUUUCCCAGCUUUCACAAUACAUUUAUUCAUCACAGC